UGAAUUUAGCAACUUUUUUAGCAGCAAUUUUAAUUGGCUUUUUAGUAGCUGGAUUGAUUCCUUGUCUAGCUGCUCUUUCAGCAACUGAGAAUGUACCAAAUCCUACUAAAGAAACUUUUCCCUCUUUUUUCUUAAGAGUAGAAGUAACA
rnacentral:misc_RNA from 1 species